rnacentral:lncRNA from 1 species
GAUGUAAUAUUAUUUAUUUUUUUUUUUUCUUUUAGAUAUGUAUUUUAUACUUCUAUAACACACAUAAUAUUUACGUUCAUCAAAAUGGAAUUCUUAUUGUUGGAAGAAAAAUAUAAAAACAUUGUGGUUAAAACUUAAUUCGGAAAUGUUAUUUAUUCAUGUGUGUUUUUUUUUUUUUUUUUUUAAACUUAUAUGUUGUUGUCUAAUUGUUGUAAUUAUGUGUUCAGUUUAUAUUUUGUCUAAAAAAAAAAAAAAAAAAACACGUUAAAAUAUUACUUUAUUUUAAAAAAAUAGCUAUUUUUUUUUGUUCCUUUUUUUUUAUAUUAAAAGGAUAAGUCAAACUAUGAAAAUAUGAUUCUUAAGAGAGAAACAGAAUGCCUACAAAAAAAAAUCAAGAAUUUAGAAGAUGUUUAUAUCGAAAAAGAAAAUAAAAUUAUGGAAAUAUUAGAAGAGAAAGAAGAUCUUAAAGAUCAUAUAUUCGAAAUAGAAAACGAAAAUUCCAAACUAAGGGAUAAUAUUGCCAAGCUUAAUGAAAGAAUAUUAGAUAUGAAGAACCAUAAAUUAUUAUUAGAAUCGAAGAUCACAAAAAAAAAUAAAAUAAUUGAUGUGAUUAAGGAAAAAUACCAAAAAAAUAUAUCAAGAAUAUUAGAAAAGUUUAAUGAAAAGGAUAAAUGCAUUAACGAGUUUCGAAGUUAUGUUAUUCACGGUAUGAGAACAUAAAAGAAAAAAAAAAAAAAAAUUCAUACAAAUUAUUGUAUUAAUAUUAGGAAUUCAUUUUUUUUAACUGCUUUCUUAUAAUU